rnacentral:rRNA from 1 species
GUCUGAAUAUGGGGGGACCAUCCUCCAAGGCUAAAUACUCCUGACUGACCGAUAGUGAACCAGUACCGUGAGGGAAAGGCGAAAAGAACCCCGGCGAGGGGAGUGAAAAAGAACCUGAAACCGUGUACGUACAAGCAGUGGGAGCACGCUUAGGCGUGUGACUGCGUACCUUUUGUAUAAUGGGUCAGCGACUUAUAUUCUGUAGCAAGGUUAACCGAAUAGGGGAGCCGAAGGGAAACCGAGUCUUAACUGGGCGUUAAGUUGCAGGGUAUAGACCCGAAACCCGGUGAUCUAGCCAUGGGCAGGUUGAAGGUUGGGUAACACUAACUGGAGGACCGAACCGACUAAUGUUGAAAAAUUAGCGGAUGACUUGUGGCUGGGGGUGAAAGGCCAAUCAAACCGGGAGAUAGCUGGUUCUCCCCGAAAGCUAUUUAGGUAGCGCCUCGUGAAUUCAUCUCCGGGGGUAGAGCACUGUUUCGGCAAGGGGGUCAUCCCGACUUACCAACCCGAUGCAAACUGCGAAUACCGGAGAAUGUUAUCACGGGAGACACACGGCGGGUGCUAACGUCCGUCGUGAAGAGGGAAACAACCCAGACCGCCAGCUAAGGUCCCAAAGUCAUGGUUAAGUGGGAAACGAUGUGGGAAGGCCCAGACAGCCAGGAUGUUGGCUUAGAAGCAGCCAUCAUUUAAAGAAAGCGUAAUAGCUCACUGGUCGAGUCGGCCUGCGCGGAAGAUGUAACGGGGCUAAACCAUGCACCGAAGCUGCGGCAGCGACACUAUGUGUUGUUGGGUAGGGGAGCGUUCUGUAAGCCUG